AAAGCGCGAAAUGUAAUGUGAAUUGCAGAAUUCAGUGAAUCAUCGAAUCUUUGAACGCACCUUGCGCUUUUGGGUUAUUCCUGGAAGCAUGUUCGUUUGAGUGUCGCGUACCUCUCAACCCCCCUUCUUGGCAACGAGAAAGCGUUCGGGUUGGAUCAUGACGGUCUUGUCUUUGCUACAAAGACUCCGUUGAAAUACAAUAAGCUUGACGUAACUUGUCCAAAAGCGAGCUUGACCCGUUGUCAUAAGUUCUAUACAACAUCCUUCAAUGGGGAUCGCUUACUAUUAGAGACGAGUCGGAUUUUCAGCUUACCAUAAACUGGGCCGUCUUGUGCGCCCCUUUCUACAUUUGACCUCAAAUCGAGCAGGACUACCCCCUGAACUUAA
rnacentral:misc_RNA from 1 species